CCCUUAGAUGUUCUGGGCGGCCCGCGCACUACAAUGGCGUGUGCAGCGAGUGCCGAAGUAGAGUUUUCCGAGGUAUUCUUGCAAUGCUCGUGUUGAUGGGGAUAGACCCUUGCAACUGUUGGUUUUGAACGAGGAAUUCCUUGUAAGCAUGGUUUAUCAUCCGACGCUGAAUGCGUCCCUGCCCUUUGUACACACCGCCCGUCGCUCCUACCGAUGAGUCGUCCGGUGAAGUUCGUAGACCUCGUGAUCGCGGAUCACUGGGGGAAGCAAAAUGAACCUCGCGGUUUAGAGGAAGGAGAAGUCGUAACA
rnacentral:rRNA from 1 species